UACGUAGGUGACAAGCGUUGUCCGGAUUUACUGGGCGUAAAGCGCGCGUAGGCGGCUUUGUAAGUUAGAGGUGAAAGCCCGGAGCUCAACUCCGGAAUUGCCUUUAAGACUGCAUCGCUAGAAUCAUGGAGAGGUGAGUGGAAUUCCGAGUGUAGAGGUGAAAUUCGUAGAUAUUCGGAAGAACACCAGUGGCGAAGGCGACUCACUGGACAUGUAUUGACGCUGAGGUGCGAAAGCGUGGGGGAGCAAACAGG
rnacentral:rRNA from 1 species